rnacentral:rRNA from 1 species
GAUGAACGCUGGCGGCGUGCCUAAUACAUGCAAGUCGAACGCAUUGUGGUUGAAAUGAUAUGAAGAACUUGUUCAGAUUUGAUUUUCAACAUUGCAAUGAGUGGCGAACGGGUGAGUAACACGUGGGAAACCUACCUCUUAGCAGGGGAUAACAUUUGGAAACAAAUGCUAAUACCGUAUAAUAAUUAAAACCGCAUGGUUUUAGUUUAAAAGAUGGUCUUGCUAUCACUAAGAGAUGGUCCCGCGGUGUAUUAGUUAGUUGGUGAGGUAAUGGCUCACCAAGACAAUGAUACAUAGCCGAGUUGAGAGACUGACCGGCCACAAUGGGACUGAGACACGGCCCAUACUCCUACGGGAGGCAGCAGUAGGGAAUCUUCCACAAUGGACGAAAGUCUGAUGGAGCAACGCCGCGUGUGUGAUGAAGGGUUUCGGCUCGUAAAACACUGUUGUAAGAGAAGAAUGACAUUGAGAGUAACUGUUCAACGUGUGACGGUAUCUUACCAGAAAGGAACGGCUAAAUACGUGCCAGCAGCCGCGGUAAUACGUAUGUUCCAAGCGUUAUCCGGAUUUAUUGGGCGUAAAGCGAGCGCAGACGGUUAUUUAAGUCUGAAGUGAAAGCCCUCGGCUCAACCGAGGAAUUGCUUUGGAAACUGGAUAACUUGAGUGCAGUAGAGGAAAGUGGAACUCCAUGUGUAGCGGUGAAAUGCGUAGAUAUAUGGAAGAACACCAGUGGCGAAGGCGGCUUUCUGGACUGUAACUGACGUUGAGGCUCGAAAGUGUGGGUAGCAAACAGGAUUAGAUACCCUGGUAGUCCACACUGUAAACGAUGAGUGCUAGUUGUUC